rnacentral:rRNA from 1 species
UACAUUGGGUGCAAGCGUUAUCCGGAAUGAUUGGGCGUAAAGGGUUCGUAGGUGGUUUAGAAAGUCUAUUGUCAAAGACUAAGGCUUAACCUUAGGCCGGCAAUGGAAACUUCUAAUCUUGAGAAUGGUAGAGGUAAAGGGAAUUACCGGUGUAGCGGUGAAAUGCGCAGAUAUCGGUAAGAACACCAACGGCGAAAGCACUUUACUGGACCAGAAACUGACACUAAGUGAACGAAAGCCAGAGUAGCGAAUAGG